UACAGAGGUCUCAAGCGUUGUUCGGAUUCAUUGGGCGUAAAGGGUGCGUAGGUGGCGCCGUAAGUCAGGUGUGAAAUCUCGGGGCUCAACCCCGAAACUGCACUUGAUACUGCGGUGCUCGAGUACUGGAGAGGAGAUUGGAAUUUACGGUGUAGCAGUGAAAUGCGUAGAUAUCGUAAGGAAGACCAGUGGCGAAGGCGAAUCUCUGGACAGUUACGUGACACUAGAGGCAGCGAAGGCCAGGGGAGCAAACGGG
rnacentral:rRNA from 1 species